rnacentral:lncRNA from 1 species
AACUCCACUCAGGAGAUCAUCGAGAAGCUGGCCAAUGGGUUCAAUUACUCCAACUCCCUGGACAAGUGGCAGGUGCCCCAGGCCACCAACCUCAUCCAGUGAUUGUCUGAGGAGUCGGUCAUGUCCCACGGUGAGGCGUGCAUGAUGCUGACCCCCAAGGCAGGCACAAUGGAGAAGGUGGCAGAGUCUCUGGUACCAGCCUUCCUGGAUAGAAACAUCUCCUACAUCACCACCUUCCCAUGUGUGUAUCUGGCCUUCACCACCACCCAACAGGUCCUGGACAAGCUGUUCCAUAGAAUAUAGCCUGUUCAUGAUUGAAGACAAUGGGCAUCAAAUCUUCGCGGUAUUCAGAUCCUAAUGAGCACUUUUGAAAGAAUGAUGUGGCAGUUACAUGUUAUAAGGUGUGUGUUUAUAAUAUGCUUAAAAUUACCUCCUUCGCAGUUAAAUUUUCCAACAUUUUGCAUGCAUAAGCAAUAAAAGCAAUUGGAAGCUUAGACUAUGUUUUAUA